rnacentral:rRNA from 1 species
UGGGGAAUAUUGGACAAUGGACGAAAGUCUGAUCCAGCAAUACCGCGUGAGUGAUGAAGGCCUUAGGGUUGUAAAGCUCUUUUAGCAGGGAAGAUAAUGACGGUACCUGCAGAAAAAGCCCCGGCUAACUCCGUGCCAGCAGCCGCGGUAAGACGGAGGGGGCUAGCGUUGUUCGGAAUUACUGGGCGUAAAGAGCGCGUAGGCGGCUUGGCAAGUUGGAUGUGAAAGCCCGGGGCUUAACCUCGGAACUGCAUUCAAAACUGCUGAGCUAGAGUAUGGUAGGGGAUGAUGGAAUUCCUAGUGUAGAGGUGAAAUUCUUAGAUAUUAGGAGGAACACCGGUGGCGAAGGCGGUCAUCUGGGCCAUUACUGACGCUGAGGCGCGAAAGCGUGGGGAGCAAACAGG